rnacentral:rRNA from 1 species
AACGGGGCUAAACCAUGCACCGAAGCUGCGGCAGCGACACUGUGUGUUGUUGGGUAGGGGAGCGUUCUGUAAGCCUGUGAAGGUGGCCUGUGAGGGUUGCUGGAGGUAUCAGAAGUGCGAAUGCUGACAUAAGUAACGAUAAAGCGGGUGAAAAGCCCGCUCGCCGGAAGACCAAGGGUUCCUGUCCAACGUUAAUCGGGGCAGGGUGAGUCGACCCCUAAGGCGAGGCCGAAAGGCGUAGUCGAUGGGAAACGGGUUAAUAUUCCCGUACUUGGUGUUACUGCGAAGGGGGGACGGAGAAGGCUAUGUUGGCCGGGCGACGGUUGUCCCGGUUUAAGCGUGUAGGUGUGUGUUCCAGGUAAAUCCGGUUCACUUUAACACUGAGGCGUGACGACGAGGCACUACGGUGCUGAAGCAACAAAUGCCCUGCUUCCAGGAAAAGCCUCUAAGCAUCAGGUAACAUCAAAUC